GAUGAACGCUAGCGGCAGGCCUAAUACAUGCAAGUCGAACGGGUGGUCGCAAGACCACUAGUGGCGCACGGGUGCGUACCGCGUAACCAACCUGCCCCGAUCUGGGUGAUAGCCCGCCGAAAGGCGUAUUAAUACCGCAUAUACCCGCAGCCUGGCAUCAGUCAACGGGGAUAGAUUUAUUGGAUCGGGAUGGGGUUGCGUGACAUUAGCUAGCUGGCAGGGUAAGGGCCCACCAAGGCGCCGAUGUCUAGGGGACCUGAGAGGGUGCUCCCCCACACUGGCACUGAGAUACGGGCCAGACUCCUACGGGAGGCAGCAGUAGGGAAUAUUGGGCAAUGGGCGAGAGCCUGACCCAGCCAUGCCGCGUGCCGGAUGAAGGCCUUCUGGGUUGUAAACGGCUUUUCUCAGGGAAGAAAAAGACCUUGCGAGGUACACUGACGGUACCUGAGGAAUAAGCACCGGCUAACUCCGUG
rnacentral:rRNA from 1 species